rnacentral:rRNA from 2 species
CUUAGAAGCAGCCAUCAUUUAAAGAAAGCGUAAUAGCUCACUGGUCGAGUCGGCCUGCGCGGAAGAUGUAACGGGGCUAAACCAUGCACCGAAGCUGCGGCAGCGACGCUUAUGCGUUGUUGGGUAGGGGAGCGUUCUGUAAGCCUGCGAAGGUGGCCUGUGAGGGUUGCUGGAGGUAUCAGAAGUGCGAAUGCUGACAUAAGUAACGAUAAAGCGGGUGAAAAGCCCGCUCGCCGGAAGACCAAGGGUUCCUGUCCAACGUUAAUCGGGGCAGGGUGAGUCGACCCCUAAGGCGAGGCCGAAAGGCGUAGUCGAUGGGAAACGGGUUAAUAUUCCCGUACUUGGUGUUACUGCGAAGGGGGGACGGAGAAGGCUAUGUUGGCCGGGCGACGGUUGUCCCGGUUUAAGCGUGUAGGUGUGUGUUCCAGGUAAAUCCGGUUCACUUUAACACUGAGGCGUGACGACGAGGCACUACGGUGCUGAAGCAACAAAUGCCCUGCUUCCAGGAAAAGCCUCUAAGCAUCAGGUAACAUCAAAUCGUACCCCAAACCGACACAGGUGGUCAGGUAGAGAAUACCAAGGCGCUUGAGAGAACUCGGGUGAAGGAACUAGGCAAAAUGGUGCCGUAACUUCGGGAGAAGGCACGCUGACACGUAGGUGAAGUGAUUUACUCAUGGAGCUGAAGUCAGUCGAAGAUACCAGCUGGCUGCAACUGUUUAUUAAAAACACAGCACUGUGCAAACACGAAAGUGGACGUAUACGGUGUGACGCCUGCCCGGUGCCGGAAGGUUAAUUGAUGGGGUCAGCGCAAGCGAAGCUCCUGAUCGAAGCCCCGGUAAACGGCGGCCGUAACUAUAACGGUCCUAAGGUAGCGAAAUUCCUUGUCGGGUAAGUUCCGACCUGCACGAAUGGCGUAAUGAUGGCCAGGCUGUCUCCACCCGAGACUCAGUGAAAUUGAACUCGCUGUGAAGAUGCAGUGUACCCGCGGCAAGACGGAAAGACCCCGUGAACCUUUACUAUAGCUUGACACUGAACAUUGAGCCUUGAUGUGUAGGAUAGGUGGGAGGCUUUGAAGUGUGGACGCCAGUCUGCAUGGAGCCGACCUUGAAAUACCACCCUUUAAUGUUUGAUGUUCUAACGUGGACCCGUUACCCGGGUUGCGGACAGUGUCUGGUGGGUAGUUUGACUGGGGCGGUCUCCUCCUAAAGAGUAACGGAGGAGCACGAAGGUUGGCUAAUCCUGGUCGGACAUCAGGAGGUUAGUGCAAUGGCAUAAGCCAGCUUGACUGCGAGCGUGACGGCGCGAGCAGGUGCGAAAGCAGGUCAUAGUGAUCCGGUGGUUCUGAAUGGAAGGGCCAUCGCUCAACGGAUAAAAGGUACUCCGGGGAUAACAGGCUGAUACCGCCCAAGAGUUCAUAUCGACGGCGGUGUUUGGCACCUCGAUGUCGGCUCAUCACAUCCUGGGGCUGAAGUAGGUCCCAAGGGUAUGGCUGUUCGCCAUUUAAAGUGGUACGCGAGCUGGGUUUAGAACGUCGUGAGACAGUUCGGUCCCUAUCUGCCGUGGGCGCUGGAGAACUGAGGGGGGCUGCUCCUAGUACGAGAGGACCGGAGUGGACGCAUCACUGGUGUUCGGGUUGUCAUGCCAAUGGCACUGCCCGGUAGCUAAAUGCGGAAGAGAUAAGUGCUGAAAGCAUCUAAGCACGAAACUUGCCCCGAG